CUCUUUAAAAUACAACCACAAUCGUCAACAGCUAUUGCUUAGGGUAAAGACAUGUAUCAAAGAUUGUAUUAUAAUGCACAAAUAGUCCAAUAAAACUGCUAAUUGAAGACAGAAAUCUUUAUCAGCCCAGAAAGCUUGUAUUAUGACUCAUGUUAUAAAAACAUCCAUCCUACAAUGUGUAACCAGGAUCAUUUUCUAUAUUAGAUUUAGUUUAUUUAUUUUAUUUUCCAUUUUGUUAGAUUUAUUUUUUAAAGGGUUACUUAAACAUUUUUUCCUCUUCCCCUUAAUUUAUUUAACACCAACCAGGCGAGAACAAUAGUGUUCUCGCGUGGCUCUGACGUCAUGUGACAGCUGCACAUCAGCGUCCUAAAUUGGCAGCACAGUUUAUAUGGCUGCAAAUCGCAGCUUAGGCAGGAAACGCUGCGGGACUCUGAUGUGCAGGUAGGCUUCUGGUCUGUUCCCGACGAGGUUUUCAGAUCUCUAUUGUCUGUUUUUCAAUCGUGUGUGUCUGUUAACUUGCAGCCGGGUGAUUACUCAACCAAACGUUGCAAGAAUCACGGUUAGUCAAGAGGGAACUGGUGAGUGUUUGGUAGGGAGCUAGUAUGCUAGCACUAGUCUUCCAGCCUGUUGUGAUUGUAUAUUGAUUUGUUGCGUAACAAUAUUGGUUGCAUAAGUUAUAUUUACUUAUGAAACGUCUGCACAUGUAACUGAUUAAUUAGGUCUGUUUAUACAGGCCAGGUGCGUUGCAGAUCCCUCGCGCAAGGAGUGGCUGGAGGGAUCUUGACAAUAGCAAGGAUUGUCUGGUUUCACCGACCAGACUGGCAAGCUAAAAUAAGCAGGAUACCGAAACACAAGACUUAUCAUCUGGGAACAUUCUUCCGACCCAAUUGGAGGAUCAGCUCAAGUCCCCAUUGAAGGAAGUGGAUUAUUUUGGUUUUUUUUCAUCAUCAACAAAGACUGGUGGACGUCCUUGGUAUAAGGAACUUUAACUUGUUUUUCCUUUACACUAUGGACUAAUGUGUAUAUAUAUUGUAAAUACUAAAUACAACUCACCAAUUUGCACCAUCUUACUGUCUCUGUGCUUUACAAAUUGCCAUCUCCUCCAGUAGCCGAACCUAGCUAGACUUUAAGAACUGUUUGGAUAAAUUUUAAUUCGGAUUAUUUAAAAUCUUGUUAAUCCUUGAACGCAAUGUGGGUUACAUAACUUGGCGAGCUAGCCAGGAGGUUGUUGGCAUUUUGUAAACACAAAUCAUUGUUUUUUUUGUCAUCAACAAUAUGGAUGAAUUUCAAAAACUCGACGUAAAAAUUCCCAACUCUGUUUUGGUUGAAGGCAUUUCAGAUGAAGAUGGUAAAGAGGAAGUAUUUGACUUUUUGAAACAAUAUGGGAAGAUAACAAAGACUGAAAUCAUUUCUGAAGCUGACUCUGAGUUUGAGGGCCAGUUUGUGGUUGAAUUUAGCAGUGGUACAGCAGUAGCUGAAUUGCGUUCCAUUUUACCAUAUUCAUUCAAAUCAUCUGAAAAGUCAGACACAUUUUUCAUCUCUGAAUUAGCUGUUGUAUAUGCAGAACAUGUUUCACAGAGUAAAACUCAUUCUUAUUUAUUUGAGUUACAGAAACUUGCAAAGCUUUCUGGCAUGGAUUUUGCAGAGGUGUUAAAAUCCACGAUGACUCAGAUUGGACAAUCAGUUGCUGAACUUCACUCAGCUGCUAAGAUGGAGGAUCCUGAUGAGAAGUCUGAGGUUAUGGCAGCAGCUGCAGAUCCAACAAUGAAGGAAGAGCCAACGUUGUCAACCGCCACUGAUCCUACAGUUUCCAGACAGAGACUUGAGCAGCAACCUACCUCACGACAGAGACCUUCUCUUCAUGAUGAUGACAUCCAACCACCCGAAGUCCAGCGCUACGUGGUGGAACACAUUAUGAAAACUGAGGAAAGUGCUUACCAUCUACAAAGGCUCCGAGUGUUUUCUGGACGGCUGCCUAGACCAGCACAUGAAGCAGACUACGAGACCUGGCAUUCAGGAGUGGAUCUGCUACUAAAAGACCCAUCAGUUUCUGAGCUGCAGCGAUCAAGGAGGAUCGUGGAGAGUUUACUUCCCCCAGCCGCUGAUAUGCUGAAGCAUCUAAGUUCAGAUACUCCACCUACUGUAUAUCUGAACAUAUUGGAUUCGGCAUAUGGCACAGUGCAAGAUGGAGAAGAACUCUUUGCAAAAUUCAUGGACACUUUCCAAGAUGCAGGGGAGAAGCCAUCUUCAUACCUCCAGCGGCUGCAGGUUGAAGGUGCUGCUGGACAGUCUGUUCCGUAUCUGGGGUACGUGGAGCUGGUCAUCACAUUCCCUGAAGACUUCAUAGGAGUAAACACAGAGGUACCAACUCUCGCUCUUGUGGUCCCAGAUACUAGUCCUGACAGGCCAUCUAAUGUACUUAUUGGCAUGAACACACUGGAGCCACUGUAUGAACAACAUCUUAGCAGUAACCAUGUACAAUUUCAAUCCAUGGCCCAAGGAUAUCGAGCGGUCCUGAAACUGCUACAGUUAAGGCACCAGCAAAAUCAAUUAGGAAAUGCAGGGACUGUCAGGCUGUUAAGCACCACUCCAGUCCUUAUUUCACCUGGACAAACCAUUGUCUUGGAGGGUUCUGUUAAAAACGCCUCUCCAUCUGCCAAUAAGUGGGCCAUUGUUGAACACCCUAGCUCGCCUUUACCAGGGGGUUUAUGUGUUCAGAGUUGUCUAAUUACACUGCCACAGCAUCCACCAUAUAAAGUCCCAGUGAUCAUGAAGAAUGAAUCAGAGCAAGAGGUGUUCAUAUCACCAUUAACCAUUAUUGCAGACAUUGGGUCAGCACCUACUGUUUUGUCACAACAAAUCACAUCUCAAACCUCACAACGAACCAUUUUGGAGUUUAAUUUUGGAGACUCUCCUAUUCCACCUGAGUGGAAGGAACAUAUUAUCAACAAAAUGAACAGCAUGCCUGAAGUAUUUUCUCAUCAUGAUAUGGAUUUUGGCUGUACAGAUGCAGUUAAACAUACCAUUAAACUUAAUGAUGAAACGCCUUUUAAACACAGAGCAAGGCCAAUCCAUCCCCAAGAUCUGGAGGCAGUCCGUGAACAUCUUAGAGACCUGUUUGGAGCUGGCAUUAUAAGAGAGUCUAAAUCACCAUUUUCCUCUCCAAUAGUUGUGGUUCGGAAACGUAAUGGUUCCGUCCGGCUAUGCAUAGAUUACAGGAAACUGAAUCUUCAAACUAUCAAAGACGCAUAUGCCCUUCCUAAUUUGGAAGAAUCUUUUUGUGCUUUGACAGGGUCCAAAUGGUUCACUGUGUUGGAUUUAAAAUCUGGCUAUUAUCAAAUAGAGAUGGCAGAAGAAGAUAAGGCUAAAACAGCUUUUGUAACUCCCCUUGGAUUUUGGGAGUGGAACAGGAUGCCGCAAGGAAUUACAAAUGCACCUAGCACGUUUCAGCGGCUAAUGGAGAGAUGCAUGGGAGAUCUGCAUCUUAAAGAGGUCCUUGUCUUCCUCGAUGACAUCAUCAUCUUCUCUGCCACUUUGGAAGAACAUGAGGAACGGUUGCUGCGUGUGCUCUCCCGGUUGAAGCAGUUUGGACUAAAGCUCUCUCCAGAGAAAUGUAAGUUUUUUCAGUCAUCUGUACGUUAUUUGGGACACAUUGUCUCUGACAAAGGAGUUGAAACUGAUCCAGAAAAGAUUGAUUCUUUAAAAUCCUGGCCAGUCCCCCGCAACCUUAAAGAGUUGCGAUCUUUUCUGGGUUUUGCUGGAUAUUACCGAAGAUUUAUUAAAGACUAUGCUGCUAUUGUCAAACCACUUAAUGAGUUAACCCGUGGUUAUCCUCCUGCCCGCAGCCCUGCAAAACUGAAGAAACCAGAAGGAAAGUACUCGGAUCCAAAGCAAUCCUUUGGAGAUAAAUGGACUAGCCAUCAGCAGAUUGCUUUUGAAACAGUCAUUUCCAAAUUGACUACAGCACCUGUUCUUGGGUUUGCAAAUCCACAGCUGCCAUACAUUUUACAUACUGAUGCCAGUACAAAUGGGUUGGGAGCAGUAUUGUACCAAGAGCAGGAGGGCAAGCUGCGUGUUAUUGCUUAUGCUAGUCGAGGCCUGUCUGUCAGUGAGUCAAAAUAUCCUGCGCAUAAACUGGAGUUUUUGGCCCUGAAGUGGAGUGUUACUGAGAAGUUUCAUGAUUACCUCUAUGGGACUAACUUUACAGUUGUCACAGAUAGCAACCCUCUCACUUAUGUUCUUUCUUCAGCCAAGCUGGAUGCUACAGGUCACCGGUGGUUAGCAGCACUGUCUACCUACUCAUUCCAAUUGCAGUACCGUGCUGGAAAACAGAAUUUGGAUGCUGAUGCUCUGUCCCGACGCUCACAUGAAGAUAUUUCUAGUGACCAGCACUGCCGAGAGAGGGAGCUCAUUCAACAUCUGACCAGUCAGUUGGGUAAUGGUAAAAACACCCAUGACAUUUCCCCUGAAAUUGUGGACGCCAUCUGUCAGAGUUGUAUAAUCCGAACACAGAACCAAACUGAACUAAGUCGAUCUGUCGCACUGGUUGAGUCUCUAUCUGUCUCUGUUAACUCCAUCCCUGAUGGGUUCAGCAAUGAAGAGUUGCAUGGCUUGCCUCUAAUCCCCUCUCUAUCUCAGGUCGAUCUCCAAGAACAACAACAAGCUGACCCUGCUAUUCGUGAGGUCAUUCAUCAGCUGGAGACUGGGGAGAAGGUCCUUCCAUCGGUUCGAGAGGAGCUAUCUGACCUUCCUUUGCUCCUGAGAGAGUGGAACAGGUUAGAGUUGGUGGAUGGAAUCCUAUAUCGGAGAAGACAUGAUGGAGAUAAACUUAUCUACCAGUUAAUCCUACCGCCCAAGUUACGACCAACUGUUUUAAAGAGCUUGCACCAUGAUAUGGGGCAUAUGGGCAUCGAAAGAACAAUUGAUCUGGUGCGCCAACGCUUCUUUUGGCCCAAAAUGACAUUAGAGGUGGAGACUUUUGUCAGAACCUGUGGUCGUUGCAUAAGGCGUAAAGCUCAAAUAGAAAGAGCAGCUCCAUUAAUAAAUAUUCAAACAAGCCGACCACUUGAACUGCUAUGUAUGGACUUUUUAACCAUUGAACCUGACAGUAGUAAUACUAAAGACAUUCUUGUUCUUACUGAUCACUUCACCAAAUUUGCAGUUGCCAUUCCUACCCCCAACCAGAAGGCAAAGACGGUUGCAAAGUACCUCUGGAAUGAAUUUAUGGUUUAUUAUGGAAUUCCAGAGCGUAUACAUUCAGACCAGGGUACAGAUUUCGAGUCCAAGCUCAUUAAAGAGCUCUGUGAAGUUGUAGGCAUGAAGAAAAGCCGUACUACCCCGUACCACCCACGAGGGAAUCCAGUCGAGCGCUUCAACCGCACUCUGCUCAAUAUGCUUGGAACCCUGGAAAUGAAACAAAAGUCAAAAUGGCGAGAGUAUGUCAAACCUUUAGUACAUGCAUAUAACUGUACAAGAAAUGUGGUAACAGGGUUCACACCUUAUGAACUCAUGUUUGGUCGUUGUCCUCGUCUUCCUGUGGAUUUGGCUUUUGGUUUACCCGUCAGAGAACAAUCAUCCAUCUCUCAUUCAGAGUAUGUUAAGAAUCUGCAAUCCAGCCUGAAAGAAAGCUACAAACUAGCUUCUGAGAAUGCCCUCAAAUCAGCUGCAAAAAACAAGACCCGUUUUGAUCAGAAAAUUACACCAUGCAGUUUGGAGAUAGGAGAUCGAGUACUGGUUCGCAACAUCCGUCUGAGGGGUAAGCACAAGCUGGCAGAUAGAUGGGAACCAGGGGUGUACAAAGUUGUUAACAGAGCUGAAAAUGUACCAGUUUACACUGUACAACCUGAACACAAAGAGGGACCAACUCGUACUUUACAUAGAGACCUGUUGCUUCCUUGUGGUUUCCUGCCAGUUUGCUCCACAGAAGACCCUUCCAUCUCCAUGCCUGCCUCACAACGAAAGACUCGCAGCCAGGAUGGUUGCCAUCCAGAUGUUCCUGAUGCGAUGCAGGAGGAUGAGGAUGCUGAGCCAUAUGUGCCAGAAGUUUCCAUCCCAUCCCCAACCAGAUUCAGUGUGAAGGUGAGAAAAUUCGAGUCAUCACCCGAAUCCAUUACUUUGCAGCCUAUUUCACCUUUGGCUCAAAGUGAUGCUGAAGCACCAGAGCAUCCUGUACCUCUAAUUCAGAGUACAGACCUUGAGACUGCUAGUCCAUCUGAAAAUGAAAAAUCCUGUUUAACAACUGAUUCAUCACUGUCUCACUAUGAAGACAAGCUACCUGUGGAACAGAUUGAGGCAGAGGAACUUUCUGAACCACAUGUAGCUGAGCCUGUGAAAGUACACAUGGAGGGAGAAGUACCUGACGAACACUUACCUGAAGUUCAAGAACCUGACGCUGAGGGUCAUCUGGUCGUUCAAUCUGAGUCAUCUAUAGGUCCUGCAAGUGUCAGCUCACCCUAUAACUCAAUUGAGUCUGAAACAUUGCCCAGGCGAUCAGAUCGACAGCGUCAACCUCCUAGUCGUCUAACAUAUCCUGUGUUGGGCCAGGUGCGUUGCAGAUCCCUCGCGCAAGGAGUGGCUGGAGGGAUCUUGACAAUAGCAAGGAUUGUCUGGUUUCACCGACCAGACUGGCAAGCUAAAAUAAGCAGGAUACCGAAACACAAGACUUAUCAUCUGGGAACAUUCUUCCGACCCAAUUGGAGGAUCAGCUCAAGUCCCCAUUGAAGGAAGUGGAUUAUUUUGGUUUUUUUUCAUCAUCAACAAAGACUGGUGGACGUCCUUGAUCUCCUCUGCUGUUUGCUUCCUGCUGUCUCCUGGUGCCUCGUACAUCUCUGGGGCUACCCUGAAAGUGGAUGCAGGACAGAGUCUUUAUCAC